rnacentral:rRNA from 1 species
CGMGAAAAACCUUACCUACCCUUGACAUGCCAGGAAUCCUGAAGAGAUUUGGGAGUGCUCGAAAGAGAGCCUGGACACAGGUGCUGCAUGGCCGUYGUCAGCUCGUGUCGUGAGAUGWUGGGUUAAGUCCCGCAACGAGCGCAACCCUUGUCAUUAGUUGCUACGAAAGGGCACUCUAAUGAGACUGCCGGUGACAAACCGGAGGAAGGUGGGGAUGACGUCAGGUCAUCAUGGCCCUUAUGGGUAGGGCUACACACGUCAUACAAUGGCCGGGACAGAGGGCUGCCAACCCGCGAGGGGGAGCUAAUCCCAGAAACCCGGUCGUAGUCCGGAUCGUAGUCUGCAACUCGACUGCGUGAAGUCGGAAUCGCUAGUAAUCGCGGAUCAGCUUGCCGCGGUGAAUACGUUCCCGGGUCUUGUACACACCGCCCGUCACACCAUGGGAGCGGGUUCUGCCAGAAGUAGUUAGCCUAACCGCAAGGAGGGCGAUUACCACGGCAGGGUUCGUGACUGGGGUGAAGUCGUAACAAGGUAGCC